rnacentral:tRNA from 10 species
CUAGGAGAGCUACUCAGGGAACGGAGGUCCAAGAGAGGAGAUAAGACUGGAGGGGAAUUAAUUCACAAUAUCAGCGUGAAAUGAAGUGUAAAGCAUGUGUCAGUCACAACCCUCCCAAGCCGCUGGGCCCAGCGUCUACGGAAGCGUGGAAGCGGCAUUCUGUCCAAGACGCUGCUCACUGGCUGAGAUCCCUAGAGAGCGAAGACCAGAAAGAAAACAGCUCCAGGCGACUUUCACCUCUUUCAGGCAAAAUCCUUUCACGGUGAGGCGAACACAAAGAAAGCAAGAGGAAGGAAUUCGCUCUUUUUAAGACCUCCCUGCGCCUGGACAGGUCCUCAGACCCUGUGUUCCUGGAGCACAAAAGAAUCCAACCACUUGAUGAUUCGAAAUCACCGCAAUGCCAUGGAAUGUAAAAACUGCUCUCGCCACGUCUAGAGACCGAUGCCUCUUCCUCCGCUGGGAACAUGGUUCAUCUCCACUCUCCGAUUUCACGGUUUUAUUUGCCCUCUGGGACGCGCUGACAUUGUUCUAAGCACAUUUUCUAAGUGAUUGUGUGAGUGUGGGUGUGUUUUGUUGGACUUGAAGGGAGUCUAAUUUCUAGAAGUUCCUUUCAGGAGUCUGCCUUUACUGCAAAGUUGAUGUAUUCGAAAACACAGUAACUCUUAAUGGCAACAGAAUUUGUCACCUAAUUAAGUGCAAUUCGGUCAUAAAAGAAGCCACAGAAUCAGCACGGCUGGCUCUGUGGCUUAGUUGGCUAAAGCGCCUGUCUCGUAAACAGGAGAUCCUGGGUUCGAAUCCCAGCGGGGCCUUAGGGUGUGCGUGUUUUUUUUUCUUUCCCCCUUUAAUAAGGGCCGUCUGUUUUUGUAAAUUUAUCACAAUUUUUAGUCUAUAAUCCUUAAUCACAAUAUCAAGUCCACUGCAUAGAGCUUUAAUCUCUCCAAUCUCUCUUCAUUACACCUGCAUCCUCAAAGACUAUUAGUUUCUGAUGAUCUCCCAGACAGUUAUAUUGGAAUUUCACCAAACUCAGGGGUUCAAGUUCAAUCACGGAUAAAAAAUCUCUAAAAUAAAAUUGUAAAACUUUUAAUUCAAAACAUUAAAAAUAUAUUCUUCUGGUUUCUCAAACUCCAUGUUAACCUUGCUUAAAGUCCACAUGGAUGAAAAAUGGUUGCAAUUUAUGGAACAUUUACUAAGUUGCACUUUGUGUAUUUUCUCACAUGCUUUUAAUUCCUAGAAUAUUCACUGAAGUAAACAUUAUUAUGCCAAUUUUACAGAUUAAAAAUGAAGUAUCAGAAGGAAAUAAACUUGCCCAAAUCUUACAGCUGAUAAUCAAGCUAAUAUUUAAAUCCAAUAUUUCUCAGUUACUUAAGUCAAAGUUAUUUAAGUCAAAGUCUUAAGUAACAAAUAAUAUUAUUUAUAAAAACAAACAGUAUCCAGUGUGAUUUAGAAUAAUGGUUCUUAAAAUUUUAUGGCACAUGAACUCAUUACAUUAUCUAAAAAAAAAUUUUGUCUAUAAACACACAGACACACACACACACAGACUUACGGACAAAUUUUGCAUAUUCUUUUGAGAUUUUCUCUGACCUCCUUAAGUUCUUGGGUGUCCAUGUGCCACUGAAAAAAAUCCAUGACUUUCAUAAAUCAAUAAACAGUAAAUCGCAAAUGAAUGUUCAGAAAAAAUAAGCUGUUUUAGGGACAGGGGUCAUAUUUUAUUUCUUGACAUUGAUUUUUAUAGUACUAUCACUCCCUUCCCUUGGUUGAUUUAAAGUGGGUUAUUAGAAGCAGAUUUCCCAACAGGAGUGUUAUGACUCUGAGCCAGCAUGCCAGUUUCAAAAAGUUAUAUUUCUGGAUGUGAGAUCACUGAAGUGAAUUCUGAAAAGAAUUCUAUGUGGUCCAUAAACACCUCUUAAAGCUAACUUCAAGCAGUGGAAGAUAUGCCUUCAUCUGUUUUAUGUGAUAAUUACGGAACUCUAGUCAUCCCCUCAUUCAUUCCCAAAAUUAUUAAUUCUAUGCCUACUCACACCAAGGUGUGGAAAGGUAAACUGAACAGGCCUGGUCUCUAUCCCAAAGGAGAUAAGAGCUUAGUUGGGGGUGGGUGAAUGGAUAGAAGUUAUUUAUAUAAUGACAAACAUAACAUUGUGGCUAUGAUAAGUGCUGCAAAAAAAGAAUGACUGUGAUUUAGAACACACCGAUGGGAUUUGGUUUCAUCAGGGAGAUAAGAAGAGAGUCUUCAGUUGCAAAGAAAGAGGACAGCAUAGGAAAGGGAGAC